ACUUAAAUAGCUUAAAUAAAGAGCAUAGCAUUGAAGAUGCUAGAGUGAUAAUAUAUCUUUGAGUA
rnacentral:tRNA from 1 species